rnacentral:misc_RNA from 1 species
GGGAUGCCCCUAUCAUGGAGGAGCAGCUGACCACGAGCUGUAAAAUUGUGAGGAGUUCAAACAAGAGGUCCAGAACUUACUGUCCCUCAAAGUUCUGAGAUGCCAAGCAAGGUCGAAGAUGGAAGGGGGAGUGAACACAGCUCGAUUCAGCCAAAAUACCUCAACCUCUAAACACAGAAUCACCUUUUCAGCCCCAGCCUCACCACCAAUAACAAUC